AGCAGCCGCGGUAAUUCCAGCUCCAAUAGCGUAUAUUAAAGUUGUUGCAGUUAAAAAGCUCGUAGUUGAAUUUCGGGGUUAGUAGGUUGGUCAUGCCUCUGGUAUGUACUGGUCUCACUGAUUCCUCCUUCCUUAUGAACCGUAAUGCCAUUAAUUUGGUGUUGCGGGGAAUUUGGACUGUUACUUUGAAAAAAUUAGAGUGUUUAAAGCAAGCUAACGCUUGAAUACAUUAGCAUGGAAUAAUGAAAUAGGACGUUCGAUCUUAUUUUGUUGGUUUCUAGGAUUGACGUAAUGAUUAAUAGGGAUAGUUGGGGGCAUUAGUAUUCAAUUGUCAGAGGUGAAAUUCUUGGAUUAUUGAAGACUAACUACUGCGAAAGCAUUUGCCAAGGAUGUUUUCAUUAAUCAAGAACGAAAGUUAGGGGAUCGAAGACGAUCAGAUACCGUCGUAGUCUUAACCAUAAACUAUGCCGACUAGGGAUCGGAUGAUGUUAAUUUUUUAAUGACUCAUUC
rnacentral:rRNA from 1 species